rfam:Aedes albopictus isolate Foshan contig36751, whole genome shotgun sequence.
CUUCUCGUGGCGUAACAGCAACGCGCCUGUCUAAUGAGUAGGAAUCGUGAGUUCGAGUCUCAUCGAGAGGA